rnacentral:lncRNA from 1 species
ACUAUUCACACAAGGUGAGGUUGACCAGUACAUACACAAACUAUUCACACAAGGUGAGGGUGACCAGUACCCUACACAACUAUUCACACAAGGUGAGGUUGACCAGGACCUCACACCAGGGUGAGGUUUGACCAGUACCAUACACAACUAUUCACACAAGGUGAGGUUGACCAGGACCAUACACAAACUAUUCACACAAGGUGAGGUUGACCAGGCGCCAUACACAACUAUUCACACAAGGUGAGGUUGGACCAGGACCUACAACAACUUCACACAAGGUGAGGUUGACCAGUACCAUACACAACUAUUCACACAAGGUGAGGUUGACCAGGACCAUACACAACUAUUCACACAAGGUGAGGUUGACCAGUACCAUACACAACUAUUCACACAAGGUGAGGUUGACCAGUACCUACACAACUAUUCACACAAGGUGAGGUUGACAGACCAUACACAAACUAUUCACACAAGGUGAGGUUGACCAGUGACCAUACACAACUAUUCACACAAGGUUGAGGUUGACCAGGACCAUACACAACUAUUCACACAAGGUUGAGGUUUGACCGUACCCAUACACAACUAUUCACACAAGGUGAGGUUUGACCAGGACCAU